AGUUGGUAUUUAAGUUAUUUAUAUUAUAUAUAUGUGUGUGUUAAGGGCUUAGAUGCCCAUUACCUUAGGGUUACUACAAUAGAUAGAAAAGGCAUACUUCUGCCUAGCUACGGUCAAACCAGAAAAAAAAAAAUCAAGUCUUUUGUUCUGUGAAAGAAAGGAUAAGCUUAAGGGUUGAUUGAAAAAUUAUUUCGGAUUAAGAUUCGAUCGAAGGGAGUCCUAUCUAUUGUUCGAGGUAACAAGUUGGUAUUCCGGAAAUUGUACUAGAACGCAGGUGACGGUGAGAAUCGCGUUGGCUAGAGGAUCCGAGCGGCAUAUUCCUGGUGAGCCCCGCAAUUGUUCGCGUGGGCUAUAGUUUAAUUGGUCGUUAUGUUUCUUUUUCUUGAAAAACUCUUAGUUUGCUCUAUAGUCAUGUCUUUAGAGUUUUGAGUCUUUCGUUAUUUUGAAAUAUUAAAUCUUCUCUCAUUUUUU